AAACAAGAUUAUUGACAUUGUUAAUGUUAGGAACAAAAAGAUAAAUAAUAAAGAAUUGGUAAAGUUCUCUCUUGUCGUAGACUCUUGUUCGUAACACAUUUUACCUACCGCGUUCACAUGAAAUGAAUCUUUAAUAUUUUUUAGAGUUAUUUUUAUUCAUCAUUAACUUAACGCAUAAGACUUGAAAUCAACAGAAUUUGAAAGACAGCUGAAAGUUAAGUAGAAAGAAAAGAUUAACAAAUGUUCAUUACUUUCUGUCCAACUGAUUCAGUAUUUCAUUUAUAACAAAUAAUAUUCAGACAACAUAUAAAAACUGGAGAAAUAUUUUGUACAAUGGUAAAACCAAAAACGUUCGUGUGAUGGAACAUUUAUCUACCCUUUAUGACAUACAUAUUAAGUGCGGUUAAAAUACAUCUUAGUCUCGUUUUCAUGAAAAUUGUGUGGAGGAUAACACCGCUUUCAGUUUUAUAAGCAGAUCUAGCUGAUCAAUUCUUAAAUGCAUGUGAUAAAUAAUGGAGCGCCUGUGUGGCUUUGCCACGUCCGGUAAAAAAUGAGAUGACAAAUGUAAUGCCCUCGUUAUGGGAGAGUGCCACAUUUCCCGCCAACUAGAAAGCCUUGCGUCUUGCGACUAUUUCAUUGCUCCGUGAGUGAUCACUUGUUACAUUGUUUUUGCCUCUAGCACAACAUAUCUGUUUUUCUAAUAGUAGACGUCUGAUAAUAUAUUCCCUGUCGGUGAGAUUUUACUUGCUUAAGAGUUGUCUCUCUCCAGAUAAGGUAAGACAAGAAUUUCCGAGUAACUUUUCUUUGCUUGUUUUAAUGAAAUAGCAUACACUAUACGUGGACACUUACUUUUAUCAUUACAGAUUGUAUGUGUACGUUGUGUUAAUAUGAACUAAAUUGAUAUCGGAGUGCGGAAGCACUGGCAAUUUAAGGUGAUCUCAUCAAUGACUGACUGAGCUGAUAAAAUAUAGCUAUUAAAAUAACUAGCUCAAAAGUUAGGUACGAUUCCGAAUAAGGUCAUUUUCCUUCUGACAAAUAGUUUUAAUUAACUUAAUAAUGAAAUAUCUUUUCUUGUAAAAAAAAAACAUGUAAGCAUAUAAUUAACUACCGAAUAAGACUUAUCACCGGGUUUGUACUUGCAUGUGCAUGCAACACGACGGGCGUCAUAUGUGAAACAGGAUCUGCUUACCCUUCCGGUGGACCUGAAACCACUCCCGGGUUUUGGUGGGGUCGUGUUGCUCAGUCUUUAGUUUUCUAUAUUGUUUUUAAAGGCAGUGCCUUAAUGCCUUUCUAGUUGCCGUGUUAAUAUUUCUUUCCGCGAUAUCCAACUUAUCUACGUGGGGGGUCAUUAGGCUCCAAGUAGAUCCGGAAAAUGUUGAUUCUCUCCUCUUCUUAUUGUGGUAUAAAAUGUUUUUUGUCUCAUUUCAUUUACAUUGGGAAAUAGAGAAACGAUCAUUGUGUUUUGUUAGUUUUAAAAACUUUUGAUAUAUUUGUAUUUUACAUUAUAAGCAGUCAACCGAUUGACAAACUAGAAUUAUUUGAAUUCCAUGUGGAAAGAGGUCGGGUUAAUUUCGAGUGUUAUCUGCAAUCUAGAUGUUUAUAAAUCAUUUCAGUCGUUGAUAUAAUAAUUAAUGGUCGACUGAACAUGAAUUAUAUUAUACAAUUUAAAGCGCAUUUCUGUUUAUGCACGCGAACCCGUCUAACAUUAUUGUUAUUUCGCAGUUAUAUAAAGUAGCAAAUUAUCGUUCCUGAAUAGGUGGCGCCGUGGUAGCCGAUCCUGUACUUCAACUUCCGGUUUCUGCACUGUGCAACUAUUACAGUUGCAUUUUUAAUUAACGAUGCCAAGUACUUGUUGUUGUGUACCUGGAUGUCAUUUAAGAGGAGGACAUGCAUUUCCAAAUGACUUAAAAAGAAGGAAAAGUUGGAUCAACGCCAUGGCCCAUACGCAGAUUGGACGAGAACACGAUGAAAUCGUGGAGUCCAUCUCAAUCAGCUGUUGUUUGCAAGGCACAUUUUACUGAAAAAGACUACGUGCAGGAAACUAUUCAUGGGCACAAACCCACCAUACAGAGACUUAAGUCUACUGCCAAUCCCAGCCUAUUUUCCUGGACCAAGCAAGAGACUGAAUCGUCCGCAAAAAGAAAAAUCAGGGCAGUUUCCUGUGAAAACAAAAGAACUAAACUUGAUGAAUAUUGUAGUAGAAAUCUAGAGGAAAGUUUUGAUUGUAAAGUUGGUUUUCCUGAAGAAGUAAUUCAUACUGCAGACAGGAUUUAUGACUAUCCACCACCAACUGCCGAGCUAAUGUUGAGCUUCACAGAUGGAAUUACGCAAACACCAUCAAUGCCUAUAUUUUCAGCAGAGAAUUUUGAAAUGAAGACACGUGACACAGCCAUGCAUUUUUAUACCGGUUUAGAGUUGUAGAGUUGUAUACUAAAUUUUUAUUUGUUUUGACCACACUUGGUCCAACAGCACAUUGUUUGAGAUGCAUAUAUUUUCAAAUUGAUAGGGUGUCAUUUGAAAAUCAGUUUUUUUAUGACUUUGAUGAAAUUGAUGCAUUAUACAACCAACUUUGAACUGUCUAGAUUCUAGAUUGAAACUAGUGUUAAAAAUAUUGUGUAAACAUGGAUUGUUUUUAUGUCUAAACAGUGGCGUGAGGCUAACACUUGGCCAUUUAGUGGUUUAGUCAGGUAUUUUUCGCCAUCCAACUUCAAAUUAAAGUUUCCUACAACUUGGAUUAUUAUUGACAGCACAGAAUAUCCCGUGAUAAAACCUAAAGCUCCUAGAGCUCAGGCAACCUUUUCAUCAUAUAAAAACAGAAACACUGAAAAUACUUGUAUGUUGGACACCUGGUGGUUUAGUCAACUAUGUCUCUAAUGCAUAUGUUGGUUGUACCAGUGACUGUGAAAUAGUUGAAAGAUGUAGAAUAGUUCAAUUAUGUGAUCCAGGUGACAGUGUGAUGGCAGACAAAGGUUUAAAUGUGCAAGAUUUGUUUGCUCACUUUUUUCAAAAAAAGAAACAGAAUUAGUUCCAAAACUCUUAUACGGGAUAGAAAAGUCUCCAAUUAACACGUGCACAUAGAGCUAAUUAUUGGACUUGGCAAAACAUACAAAAUUCUAAUAAAUCCUAUGAAUGGAACUGAAACAAAACUUUCAUCUGAAAUAACAUUUAGUUGUUUUAUGUUGUGUAAUUUUAGAACUUGCAUUGUGCCAAAGGAUGCAUAAAUAAAAGUGACGCAAUGAA